AGAGUUUGAUCAUGGCUCAGAAUCAACGCUGGCGGCGUGCCUAACACAUGCAAGUCGAACGCGAAAGCCCCGCAAGGGGUAAGUAGAGUGGCAAACGGGUGAGUAACACGUGGGUGACCUGCCUUCGAGUGGGGGAUAACGUCCCGAAAGGGACGCUAAUACCGCAUGACAUCCUGCUUUUGAAAAAGCGGAGAUCAAAGCUGGGGAUCGCAAGACCUAGCGCUUGAAGAGGGGCCCGCGCCUGAUUAGCUAGUUGGUGAGGUAACGGCUCACCAAGGCGACGAUCAGUAUCCGGUCUGAGAGGGCGGACGGACACACUGGGACUGAGACACGGCCCAGACUCCUACGGGAGGCAGCAGUGGGGAAUUGUUCGCAAUGGGCGCAAGCCUGACGACGCAACGCCGCGUGGAGGACGAAGAUCUUCGGGUCGUAAACUCCUGUCGAGCGGGACGAACGCUUCGCGGACGAAUAAUCCGCGGAAUUGACGGUACCGCUAAAGAGCCC
rnacentral:rRNA from 1 species